rnacentral:rRNA from 1 species
UACGUAGGGGGCGAGCGUUGUCCGGAGUUACUGGGCGUAAAGGGCGUGCAGGCGGUGGUGCGCGUUUUGUGUGACAGCGCAAGGCUUAACUUUGCGAGGAUACGAAAGACGGCAGCACUUGAGAGCGCGAGAGGGACACGGAAUUCCGGGUGGAGUGGUGAAAUGCGUAGAGAUCCGGAGGAACACCGAAGGCGAAGGCAGUGUCCUGGCGCGCAUCUGACGCUGAGGCGCGAAAGCCAGGGGAGCGAACGGGAUUAGAUACCCCGGUAGUCCUGGCCGUAAACGAUGACCACUAGGUGUAGGAGGUAUCGACCCCUUCUGUGCCGUCGGGAACCCAGUAAGUGGUCCGCCUGGGGAGUACGGUCGCAAGAUUAAA